rfam:Gossypium hirsutum cultivar TM-1 chromosome 2, whole genome shotgun sequence
AAAUCAUGCAUCGAGCAUUUUCAAAUUAGUUCAUUGAAACGCUCCCCUGCUUCAUAUAAUGUUUCAUCUUUCGAUUGCCUAAAUGAUGUAAUGUCGUUCUUAAGCUU